UACAGAGGUGGCAAGCGUUGUUCGGAAUUACUGGGCGUAAAGGGCGCGUAGGCGGUCUUGUAAGUCUCGUGUGAAAUCCCUCGGCUUAACUGAGGAACUGCACGGGAUACUGCAUGACUUGAGAUCGGGAGAGGGAAGCGGAAUUCCGGGUGUAGCGGUGAAAUGCGUAGAUAUCCGGAGGAACACCGGUGGCGAAGGCGGCUUCCUGGGCCAAUACUGACGCUCAUGCACGAAAGCGUGGGGAGCAAACAGG
rnacentral:rRNA from 1 species